GGAGGCCGACUCGCGCCGGAGUUCCAGGCGCCAAUCCGGAGACCUGGGCUCGGGCCUGACCCUGAGGAUGAAGAACUGUUUGGACAGGAGCAUGAGUCUCUUUACCUGUGACACGGGGGUGUCCCCUCUACCCAGUUUCCUCCUGGAGGGGCUGUGAGGAUCAGCUGUCUCCACCAGCCCCACGCUUUUCAAGGCCAGGCACGCUCUUCAUUCAUCUGUAUUUUUCUUCCACGAUGUCUGGUGCCCAACCAGGCACACGGCAGUCAAACGCAUGAAUGGAAACCUAGUCCAAUGUUGGCUGGGAGGGUCCCUCCGCCCAGCUCUGUGUGAGGGAGAUCUCCUUGCAUGACACCCUCCUGCCUUGAACCAGAUGGAAACAAUCCUCACAUCUCAGAGCGGGAAGAAGCAUCCCUGUUCAUGUCACCCAGUGCCUCUGUGAUUCCACAGCCUCCAAGCACAUCCUCCCGAGAAAAUAAUGGGAAAGUUGAUGAAACUCGAAGCCGGGGAAGUGGCUGCCUGGGAGGCAUUAAGGACAUCCGAGGAUGCCUCUUAUCUCCUGAGAGCGUGUGGCCAGGCCUGCCCAGAAUAACAGAAACCCACUGGGCCUGAUCAAGGACAUGUGGGCUCAAAUCCUGGGCCCACGCCUCCGAGGUCCGGGACUGGAGUGUGAGUCACCUGUGAUCUUUGAAUCUCAGUCCUAGAUCUGAAACAUUUAAGAGUGUUAAGAACAAGUGAAUGAGAUGACCCACAUAAGCGCAGUGCCUGGCAGUAGUAGGUGCUCAAUAAAUGUCAAUGGCCUUGUCAA